ensembl:lncRNA
CACGAAAGAGUAAUCAAACUUUAUUACUAUGUAAGAAAUAAGGAUACAGACAAUUACAUACAAUAAUACUGACAAAUGGAUCAAUGUUACUGCACCAAUGAAUCAUUCAAAUCUCAAAACGAUGUCUGGCUUGUGCGGAACACAAGGUAUCAUCUGUAUCCUUUAUUAAUCAAUGGAAUCAGACUUAUUUUCGAAGCGAGAACACCUUAAAAGUUAAAUAAAACUAAACAUGACUGAGAAAUCCAGCAGAAGGAAGUGAUACAGCCGUUCGCUCCAGCCCUACGGAAUCAGUUCCGUCUGCGCCCUGAGGACGGAGCCACGACCGUGUGCACCAACGGCGCCGCUGAACCCGCCUGGUGAUCAGGAGAACUUUGCUGCUUGGGGAGGAGGUCCUAGGAAGCCUCCAGCCUGCUUGGUUGCAGCUCUGGAAGAUAAAGGAGCAGUCCGUGUAAUCCUCCCCCAGCAGGUUGCGGUGCGACAGCCCCUGGAUGUAGGAAAGGGGCACGAAUGGCAACUUGGCCACGACUCUUCCGUCAAAGCUGAACAGAACAAAUGAGAAGUUUUUCACCAGACACACAAGCUUCGCUUUGGCCAAAUUCAAACCACAAUUCCUCAUCGACACAGACGGAAAAAAAGUGGUCACCGUUGGACUUUUUGGACUUUUUAUUUCGAUUGAUCGUUUCUAUCAAUCAAAAAAUGAAGACGUAAAAUCAACUUGAUUAACUUUGUGCGUCACUUACAUGGAGUUGAACAUGCCCAUCAACGCUGUGAAGCAGAAGCCUAUCGCGAACAUUGACUUCAUGCGCACCUGCAAACCAAAAAUGGAAAUUUGAAGUCAGGUCACAUCUGACUACAAAUACAAGGACAAAUGCAGUUUGGCAAUACAACAACAAGAUGACUAAUGUAAAGGUGUAGGUAGGUAAGCCUGUGAAUGCUGUCUAAUACAGCCAAAACAAUCACAUUCACAGGAAUGAUCUUAUUUGGUAUGUUAAAGACAGAUUUGUCUCAAGUCUAAGCAUUGCCUAUUUGUUGUGGAGCGGUGUCUCACCAUGGACAAGUCUCUGUUGUUGUUCUUCAGCUUCUCUUCCUGUCUUUCUGUAAUACAUUCAAAGACAGACACACUUGUCAAAGGGAAGAAAUGCUGAGAGGUUUUAGCUUUUUGGUUUGCCCGAGAGCAAUUUAUUUUCUCCUCCAAUAUAACUAACGGUAAACUUACCAAUUUUCUUCUUUUGUUGACGUCCUGCAGAUUCAGUGAUGGUUUCCUUUUUCUUCUCAACUAAUGCAAAAGACAUGCAAAAACACCCAAAAGCGAAUGCAUUAAAAGUCUACAAUGGAGAAAUUACAGUAUGACGUUCACAUGUGAGUCACUUACGUUUUUUGCUCUGUUUUUCCACUUCAGCCUUUAGCCUCUUGUACUUUUCAGUGCGAUACACUAAAACCCAGGUGAUACCUGGUGGGGGACAAAGGAGGGUUGUGUAUCAAAUAAAAACAACUCUUUUGGACCACUGUCACAAUGGCACAUCGUGGGUUACAUAUUGGGCAACAUGCAUUAAUACGUUAUACAUUUGUGAGAGAUUACUUUACAAAUAACCCUGCUUAAUGUUCCUGUGUUAAGAGAUUGUAUGAAGCAGCUGCAUAUAGUGUAGCUACCGAAUGCUUGGAAGGUUAAAACAAGUUAUUAAAAAAGUACUUUUAUUCGACAACUUUUACGACGCGAUCACCUGGUUAACUCUUUUCGGAAAUUAUACCAAUAAAAAUGUGUGUAAAUUUUUUUUUAUAUUCAAAAGCAGAACAUUACGUUCUCAGAGGGUAUUAAUCAAGCAUAGUUUCUACUAUAUUAUGAAUAACGUAAUUGCAACUCUUUUAUUGUGGAAAUGUAAACCGGAAGUUAUUUCCGCCGUCUCACAAACUAACGUCAGCUAUUAACGUAGCUUAGUUGGCUAAUUACGCUGAAUAGCAAGCACACAACUGGUCCUCAAAGGCAUAUAAAGUAGCCACGAAUCAAUAUUAAUAAGAUGAAAAACACGGCUGCACUAUCGAAUAGAGAAACAAUGGAGAGUAAAUGCGUUUGCUGGACGGUGAUAAAUGCCUCCAUACUGGAGCCGCCUGUCGGACUGUCGGGAGGAUUUCACUCACCUUCGGCCAACAGCGCGGUGCAAACAGAGAUGAACACGAUUAGAAUAGUGUCAGCAAACAUGGUGCUCAUGUUGCUUAUGUCCCGAUUACCGUCCCGUUCAGCCGGCCGCACAGGCAGGAGGUCAGUUUGUCAUUCCAGGCUACACCGCGGCCAGCGAGCACAUUACAGCGGGCUCAGACUCACUGGGCUGACGUCAGCGCUCCGGAGGAGGUCACGCGU